rnacentral:rRNA from 1 species
GUUAAAAAGCUCGUAGUUGGAUUUCUGUUGAGGAUGACCGGUCCGCUCUUUGAGCGCGUAUCUGGUUCAGCCUUGGCAUCCUCUUGGGGAACGCUACUGUGCUUGAUUGCAUGGGGCGGUAUUCAAGACUUUUACUUUGAGGAAAUUAGAGUGUUCACUGCAAGCGUUAGCAAUUGAAUACAUUAGCAUGGAAUAAUAAUAUAGGACCUUGGUACUAUUUUGUUGGUUUCUAGAACUAAGGUAAUGAUUAAUAGGGACAAUUGGGGGCAUUCGUAUUAACGCGUCAGAGGUGGAAUUCUUAGAUUGCGUUACGACGAACUACUGCGAAAGCAUUUGCCAAGGAUGUUUUCAUUGAUCAAGAACGAAAGUAUGGGGAUCGAAGACGCUUAGAUACCGUCGUAGUCUAUACCAUAAACUAUGCCAACUAGAGAUUGGAGGUCGUUCUCUUUAUGACUCCUUCAGCACCUUAUGAGAAAUCAAAGUCUUUGGGUUCCGGGGGGAGUAUGGUCGCAAAGCUGAAACUUAAAAGAAUUGACGGAAGGGCACCACCAGGAGUGGAGCUUGCGGCUUAAUUUGACUCAACACGGGAAAACUUACCA